UACGUAGGGGGCAAGCGUUGUCCGGAAUCAUUGGGCGUAAAGCGCGCGUAGGCGGCCCGGUAAGUCCGCUGUAAAAGUCAAAGGCUCAACCUUUGAAUGCCGGUGGAUACUGUCGGGCUAGAGUCCGGAAGAGGCGAGUGGAAUUCCUGGUGUAGCGGUGGAAUGCGCAGAUAUCAGGAGGAACACCAGUGGCGAAGGCGACUACCUGGCCUGUUCUUGACGCUGAGGCGCGAAAGCUAGGGGAGCAAACGGG
rnacentral:rRNA from 1 species